rnacentral:lncRNA from 1 species
UAUUGUGAUCCAAGGGGAGGACCUGGUACUUCGCCUUGUUGAAGCUCUUACUACAUUGGCUAAUCUCAGUCUCUUUUAAGAUAAUAAGUUGUGUGGAAGGCUUGCUAGGCCUGAAAGCUGGUCAAGGGCACACCAAUCUCACAGGCCAAAUGCGGAUCAGUGGAAAAGAGAUUUCUGUUUGCUGCAUAACAGCAAGAGGAUCAAGAAAAAUAAAGGUUAAAAUGGUGUCAUGGUGUCUUCUAUACCUUUCCUGGCCAAUUCCUCUAUUUAAUGAUAAAUGUAUACAGAGGUCCACACACAGAAGAAUUAACAGGAGCUUAACCUCCUACUUCGGAGCCUAACUUCUGUCAGUUAUAGUUUUUAAUUUGAAGUAUGUGCUACUCUGUGCUGCUUUGUCAAAGUAUGGUCUUUUGAGAGAUUUUGUUAAGUCCCUGUCAUAAAUGUUUCAUGAGUGUCAGCACCAAGCAUCAGCUAUAAUAAAAAUGUGUAUUUUUUCUGUACUUUUAUAUUC